rnacentral:rRNA from 1 species
UACGUAGGGUGCAAGCGUUAAUCGGAAUUACUGGGCGUAAAGCGUGCGCAGGCGGUUUUGUAAGUCAGAUGUGAAAUCCCCGGGCUUAACCUGGGAACUGCGUUUGAAACUACAAGGCUAGAGUGUGGCAGAGGGGGGUGGAAUUCCACGUGUAGCAGUGAAAUGCGUAGAGAUGUGGAGGAACACCGAUGGCGAAGGCGGCCCCCUGGGUUAACACUGACGCUCAGGCACGAAAGCGUGGGGAGCAAACAGG